UUUGCAACGGCAAAUCGGUACGGCCAGCUCCUGCUGAACUCCCCCAGGCCCGGAAGGGAGCAAGGGUAGGUGGUUGAGCGGCGCGAUACUCGGUUUGCCGCUUU
rfam:Rufibacter tibetensis strain 1351, complete genome.